GCCCGGGUGGCUCAGUCGGUUAAGUGUCUGACUUCAGCUCAGGUCAUGAUUUCACGGUGUGUGAGUUCAAGCCCCGCAUCGGGCC
rnacentral:tRNA from 1 species